GAUGAACGCUGGUGGCGUGCUUAACACAUGCAAGUCGAACGGGAUCCAUCAGGCUUUGCUUGGUGGUGAGAGUGGCGAACGGGUGAGUAAUGCGUGACCGACCUGCCCCAUACACCGGAAUAGCUCCUGGAAACGGGUGGUAAUGCCGGAUGCUCCGACUCCUCGCAUGGGGUGUCGGGAAAGAUUUCAUCGGUAUGGGAUGGGGUCGCGUCCUAUCAGGUAGUCGGCGGGGUAACGGCCCACCGAGCCUACGACGGGUAGCCGGCCUGAGAGGGCGACCGGCCACAUUGGGACUGAGAUACGGCCCAGACUCCUACGGGAGGCAGCAGUGGGGAAUAUUGCACAAUGGGCGCAAGCCUGAUGCAGCGACGCCGCGUGCGGGAUGACGGCCUUCGGGUUGUAAACCGCUUUUGAUCGGGAGCAAGCCUUCGGGUGAGUGUACCUUUCGAAUAAGCACCGGCUAACUACGUGCCAGCAGCCGCGGUAAUACGUAGGGUGCAAGCGUUAUCCGGAAUUAUUGGGCGUAAAGGGCUCGUAGGCGGUUCGUCGCGUCCGGUGUGAAAGUCCAUCGCUUAACGGUGGAUCUGCGCCGGGUACGGGCGGGCUGGAGUGCGGUAGGGGAGACUGGAAUUCCCGGUGUAACGGUGGAAUGUGUAGAUAUCGGGAAGAACACCAAUGGCGAAGGCAGGUCUCUGGGCCGUUACUGACGCUGAGGAGCGAAAGCGUGGGGAGCGAACAGGAUUAGAUACCCUGGUAGUCCACGCCGUAAACGGUGGAUGCUGGAUGUGGGGCCCGUUCCACGGGUUCCGUGUCGGAGCUAACGCGUUAAGCAUCCCGCCUGGGGAGUACGGCCGCAAGGCUAAAACUCAAAGAAAUUGACGGGGGCCCGCACAAGCGGCGGAGCAUGCGGAUUAAUUCGAUGCAACGCGAAGAACCUUACCUGGGCUUGACAUGUUCCCGACAGCCGUAGAGAUAUGGCCUCCCUUCGGGGCGGGUUCACAGGUGGUGCAUGGUCGUCGUCAGCUCGUGUCGUGAGAUGUUGGGUUAAGUCCCGCAACGAGCGCAACCCUCGCCCUGUGUUGCCAGCACGUCAUGGUGGGAACUCACGGGGGACCGCCGGGGUCAACUCGGAGGAAGGUGGGGAUGACGUCAGAUCAUCAUGCCCCUUACGUCCAGGGCUUCACGCAUGCUACAAUGGCCGGUACAACGGGAUGCGACACGGCGACGUGGAGCGGAUCCCUGAAAACCGGUCUCAGUUCGGAUUGGAGUCUGCAACCCGACUCCAUGAAGGCGGAGUCGCUAGUAAUCGCGGAUCAGCAACGCCGCGGUGAAUGCGUUCCCGGGCCU
rnacentral:rRNA from 1 species